rnacentral:misc_RNA from 1 species
GAUUAAAGCUCAAUUGUUGUUCUUUGAAAUUGCUCCAGAACUUUCUUAGUAUUAGAACUUUUGAAAAAUCUGUCCAAGGAGGCAGUCUCCUUUCCACACUUAUUCCCAUCCAUCUCAAUUUUGUGCUUUUAGUUCAAAUGAGUUAGAUUUGGCAGAGUAGGCUCCAUUGCACUCUCUCUCUCAAUUAAUUUUGGUGAUUGGAUUUAGAAGAGAUGCAGGAAUUUUGUUGGGUUG